CCCAUGGUAGCUCAAGUGGCAGAGCUUUUAAAAUGACGGUUGGCUGGCGGUUCAAGUCCGCCCCAUGGGA
rnacentral:tRNA from 7 species